CCCUUAGAUGUCCGGGGCUGCACGCGCGCUACACUGAAGGAAUCAGCGUGCUAAAACCAUUGUCGAAAGGCAUUGGUAAACCCAUUAAAAUCCUACGUGAUUGGGAUCGGGAAUUGCAAUUAUUUCCCUUGAACGAGGAAUUCCCAGUAAGUGUGGGUCAUAAGCUCGCGUUGAUUACGUCCCUGCCCUUUGUACACACCGCCCGUCGCUGCCCGGGGCUGAGCCGUUUCGAGAAAAGCGGGGACUGCUGCUGUCGGGGCUUUCGGGCCUUGGCUUCGGUGGAAACCGCUUUAAUCGCAGUGGCUUGAACCGGGCAAAAGUCGUANCA
rnacentral:rRNA from 1 species